GGUAAGUACACACUGGUAGAGACACACAGGUAGAGAGACAGACAGACAGGUAGAGAGACAGACAGACAGACAGGAAGAGGGAAAGACCGGUAGAGACAGACAGGGGUACACUGACAGACGGGCAGAGAGACAGACAACCAGGAAGAGGGAAAGACCGGUAGAGACAGACAGGGGUACACAGACAGACGGGCAGAGAGACGGGUAGAGUGUCUGACAGAAGGACAUGCCGAGACGAGAGGUAGAAAGAAAGGUAUUGAGAAACAUGCAGACGGGUAGAGGCGGACAGACAGCAUGUCUCCCCUC